GUCCUGAUAGUAUAAACAUUACACUGGUCUUGUAAACCAGUAAUGAAAAAAAAAAAAAAAAAAUUUUUCUCAGGAUA
rnacentral:tRNA from 1 species